UGCUACAGGGACUUUAUGAAUGGCAUGUGGGUGUGGGCUUAGCAGCAGACCCCGGGCAGGAGAAGGACCUACUGGGCUCCAGACCUCAGACCUACAGAAGCCAUUGGGCUCAAAAAUUAUGUAUUCAGUUCUCCUUCUCAUUGGAUCUUCAUCUGAGUCAGCUGUGUGGUUUCUGCGUGCCAACCACAUGUUUUGUAUCCAGAGCUUAAACCCAGAAGGUGGUCUUGGAACAAGGCUGGGCCCCAGCCAGGAAGGAGCUUAUGCAGCCUGAGAGAAGAUGGUGGUGAGGGAAGUGGACUUCAGGUUGACACUAAAUCAUCUUUUUUUGUGUAUCUGUAGCUGAGCCCAGGUACUGGGGACAGAAAAGCUGCAGAGCAGAUGGGCAGGAAGGGAUGUGGUCUGUGGACACUGUGAGACCUUCCUUAUGGAAUUUGACUGGUCUCAGAAUGCUUCUCACUCCACAGUCUUGUCCCUUUAUCUUUGCUCUUGUCCCUUUAAGUUGUUUACUUAACACUCCCAGGGCAUACUUCCCCCAUUUGUAACUGUGGAGGGAACAUCGGCACUGACUACCUAGAUGGAAAUGCAGCUGAGUGCUCCUUGGACCAAUGCUGGGAUAGAACUAAGUAAAAGAACAAAGCACAGUUCAUUUAAAAAAAAUCACUGUGAUUCACAGACAUUACACACCAGUGCAUUAAAAACAAGCCACAUAAAUAAGAAAAUGGGUUAACAAAUACACGUGCUACACAUCUGGAAGAAAACAAAGCUAGUUGUACAACCUUCCAUCUGCAAAUGUAAAUUCUUCAUAAAGAUCUAAAUGAAAACAAGUAAUGUAACAAAUUAGAAAUAAAAAUAGAAGCUUUGAAAACAACAUGGAGAAAGGGUUGGCUUGCUUCUAGAAGAAAGAUAUAUUUAGUAGCCACAAAGAAAAGAUUAUCAGAUUUAAUUAUAUAGAAAUUACAAAUUAGGUAUGGCCAAAGUUAACAUGAACCACGAUGAAAGAAAAAUGGUAAACUGGGACAUGUCUGUCUGGUAAAAAUUUGCAUGCUAAUGGAAAUGGUCUGUUGUACAUUAUUCCAAAUAAUAGCUACUAGUCCUAUGCAGCUGUGGGGCACUUAAAGUGAAGCUGGUGUGACUGAAGAAAGGAAUUUCAAAUUUUAUUUAAUUGAAGUUAGUUUAGAUGUUAUAGCCACAGGUGGCUGGUGGCUGCCACCUUGGCCAGCACAGCUCUAGAGAAAAUAUCCAAAACUUAUAUAACUGACAAAGGGCAAUAUACCAGAUUAAAAAAAAAAAAACUCCUAAAAAAUUGAUAAGGAAAAAACCAACAGCCCCCAAAGGAAAAAUAAAUAA
rnacentral:lncRNA from 1 species